rnacentral:rRNA from 1 species
GACGAACGCUGGCGGCGUGCCUAACACAUGCAAGUCGAGCGAUGAAGUUUCCUUCGGGAAAUGGAUUAGCGGCGGACGGGUGAGUAACACGUGGGUAACCUGCCUCAUAGAGGGGAAUAGCCUCCCGAAAGAGGGAUUAAUACCGCAUAAUAUUACAGUUUCGCAUGAAACAGUAAUUAAAGGAGCAAUCCGCUACGAGAUGGACCCGCGGCGCAUUAGCUAGUUGGUGAGGUAACGGCUCACCAAGGCGACGAUGCGUAGCCGACCUGAGGGGGUGAUCGGCCACAUGGGGACUGAGACACGGCCCAGACUCCUACGGGAGGCAGCAGUGGGGAAUAUUGCACAAUGGGGGAAACCCUGAUGCAGCAACGCCGCGUGAGUGAUGACGGUCUUCGGAUUGUAAAGCUCUGUCUUUGGGGACGAUAAUGACGGUACCCAAGGAGGAAGCCACGGCUAACUACGUGCCAGCCGCCGCCGUAAAAC